AUAUACCCCGGGGAUAGCGUCGCGCAGUCUAGAACUGAGUGCUUUUUAAACGCUGGUCCGUUUGACAAAUUGACAACACGCAAUUGAGGACACCUGGAUACCCGCGCCCACGAGCUAGUUGGAGGAGGCAGAUAAUCGCUCUGUUUGCUAGAGGGAGUCCCGUCAUCACCGGUAGCAAUACUCACUGCAUUAGAGCAGGUCAUCGACUUGUUCACUGUGCCUAUGAAGACACAAUUGGAAGACAAUACUCACCGAAAGUAUUGCACUUGUUUUGUACACACGCAUUCCUUAACGCCGUUUCGCACGGUAGCUAUCAGAGUACUGGGUAGCUAUCGCCUAUUGCUCUCUGCGUUGUUUGGAUAAACGCGGAGAAAUGGGUUUUAGCCGGCGCGGAUCGUUUGAAAGGUACCGUUAACUGCAUUCCUGACGGCUGUUUAGCUCAUCGCUUGUCGUCCAUUACCGACAAUUUCACCUUCAAUAAACAAACAGCACAGAGUUUUUAAUAGAGCCCGGUGAAGCCUGGCUGUGGUCGGAGUCAGAUUGCGCGCGACAGACUAAUGAAGUGUUCAAUUAAGGAAGUGCUCGGCCUUGGGUAAACGCACGUUGGGAGACGACCUAUGCGUGGAAUCUCACUACCGCGCGUCAUACUCACGACUCUGCCUGAGUUUAUGUCUCGAUAAACAUCACAUUGCGAUGCUAUUACUGGCCUUCUUUGGCUUUACCCGAAAACAGAAAACAUUGAUAAUUGCCGAUGUUUCGCCAAGAAAAAAUUAAUGUAUUCCGUUUCUAGAACAAAAAAGGCACGCCCAAAACCCAUUAGUCACGCGUUGCCAACAGUGCCAGGGCGUUUUGUGGUUUCAUGUCGUCAAUGGUGCAUCGAUACCAAGUCAGCUAUUAUUUAUUUGUUUCUGCAUUUUAGCAUUUGCAUUUUACAUGGCAAACAAAAGUUUAGAGCUGCUAUAUUUUUGUCAGGAUUCGUUAUUCAAGAGAAAAUGUAUAUCUAUGAUUUGUUUAAUAUUUAGGAUUAGUUUUUUCAACUUAGCAUAAAUAUUUAUUUAUUUCUAGGGACAAGAGCAGACAAGCAGACAAGACAAGCGCACUUUCAAUGAAAAAUGUUUCAAUGUUUCAUAAAAUGCAAUAUCAUCCUAUCGUGCUAAUUCAUUCUAACUCUCUCACCUCAUGCAACAGACAAUAAAAAUAGCUUAUAAAAUCA